CUGCCAUACCUUUUCUAUUUUCUAGCCCCCACCCCUGAUUCCUGGGGUGGUCUCUGAUGGAGUGGAGGCAGCAUGGGCAUGGGGGAGGCGUGCCUGCUGUGGGUCCAGCCGGUCCCCCAUGUGCUCUGACCCCCUUUGAGAUUGGGUCUUUCACUAACCCUGGAGCUCACCAAUUCAGCUACACUGACUGGCCACUGAGCCUCUGGGAUCCCGUAUCUCUGCCUCUCCAGUGCUGAGAUCAUAAAGAAUUCUUCAAGGGUCCCACGAGAAGCCGCAGAUGUACGAAGAACAAUGAGGAAAUCAGCGUCUCAUCCUGAGGACUAAGAGGAUGGAAGCUCUGUGUUCCCGGCGUUGUUUCCCCUCUGAGAAGCUUCCUGUGUAGCCGGGCUAACAGGGCCUCCUUGCCCUUGGACUUUCAGCCGGCGCUCUCAGUGGACUCCGCUCCUGGCUCUGGCUUGCAGUCUGCGUUUCAUGACACGCUGUCAGUCCCUUCCAUGUUCUGGUGCCAGCCGAGGAAAUGACCGUUUCUUUUCUCGUCAGCACCCAUUCCUCAUAUUCCGACCCCGCGUGCCCUGUCUUCGGACUUGCCUCUCAUCUUUCACUUGACAAAUGACUUCUCUCUCACUCCCCAAGUCUCCUUUAAGGGCUUCGUUUUCUCAUUUAGAAGUAGUACUGAUGGAACUUUCUAAUUUAAUUUUUCGUUUUCAUAUCAUUUACCUCAUCUCUCAGACAUUCUGGGGGUUCAUUAAAACAAAUCAACAAACAAAAUACUGACUUCGAUAAAUAAGUAACAAAAUACCUUACUGAGAAUAGACACUAGAGCCUCAACGAGCUGUGCUCAGAUUCUAUGAUGUUCCUUCAAAUGCUGCUGCUGCUCGCUGCUAAUGGAAAACCAAGAUCUGAGUACGACGUUUUGAUUAAUCUUGUAUAAUACAUUGUACCCACUCAUGGCCUUUCAGAUAAUUCAUCCUGAGUUCAUUCUGGGAGCAGAUCAGAAUGAAGAAUGGAGUCGUCGCUUUAGGUAUUUUCCAGCCUAGGAAUAUGCAUUCAUGAAACGUUUUUCAGCUUUUUUUUUUCUGCCUCCAUGUCGCUGAGGAGUCUCCAUCCCAUCCCCACAGUCCCCGUGUUUUCCACAGCACUUUCCACACUUUACAUUUGGGUCUUCUCUCCUCUCCACUGGAUGUGAGUUCUAUAGGGCAGGACUACUUGUUCACUUCUGUGUCCUGCCCUUUGCCUCA